GCCCGAAUCGGUAUGGAGAGAGAAAGGAAAAAAAAUAGCCCAACCACCGCACGGCGCUGCCUCCUCGAUCCCAUCUCGACCUCCAGCCCCACCCCGCCUCACCGCGCGUCGUCCUCCGCUGCCGCUCAUCGCCCGUCACCGCAGCCGCCACCUCCUGCCCCGCCCCGCCCCGCCGCCGCCGCGCGUUGCCCGCCCCCGCCGCCGCAGCGUGCCGCCGGCCGCGCUCGCAGCCGCCCCGCUCGGCGCACCCACCUCGCUCGAGGUUGGGCAAGCGGGAAGUAGAGUUCGGGACGGCGGAUCGGAAUCCAUCGACUGAUUCUCUCUUUCUCUCCUCUCCCUUGGAUUCCUGGAGGUGGUGGAUCAAUCUUGCCUUCGUGGUGGCGGCAGAACGAGCGCGGUGAGAUCAGAUUCCUCCUGGUGCGUGGGAAAUUUUCGGCUGGAUUGAUUUACUAGCUACGUCCAAGCAGGCCACUGGAUUGAUUUCAUGAGGCUUACUAGCUACGUCCCAAUCAAGAUAGCUGACUUACUAGCUACGUCCCAAGCAGGCCAAUCCAAUAUGUUGAUCAAUUUGAUUGUUCUGGCUGGAGGUCAGGAGUUCAGAAGGUGCGUCGUUCACACUAAAUCGUACCCGGAGUUCUACAAUUAGGUAUGAUUACAACUAGGAAGCUACCCUUCCUGGAUAACUAUUUUAGUACCUGUUUUUAUUUACUGAUGAGAACUAAAUAAAUUGGCUACUGUUAUGUUUCUCCCUUAAAAAAAGAUUCUGGUAGAUGUGCUUGACAAUAAUAAUGGUAAUACCUAAAGGAGUUCUCUUGCUCCAAGUUAGCCCCUAUAUAUUCUUAGCUACCAUGUACUUGCGUUACUGGUUUGUGUUAAGGAUUCCGCUACUGUUGCCAAGGUAUCUGCAGAAUUUUGUUAUAGUACUAGCGGAACAAAAAAAGAGAUGGCCGCCAAACCUCAAAAAAAAUCAACCGGCCAUUAAUUUACUGGACUCUAUUUCAGUCUAAUCAGUGGAGACUUAUAGAGUGGAAAAAUGUUUAAAAACCUAAUAUAAAAAUAUGAAAUAUUUAGUUAUUCUCUAUAUCCGAGAAAACAAUAAAGAGCUUUGUGUUAGGCAGUGCACUGCGGGAGUCUUUCCCACAGAUCCACCUUCUUUACCUUUCCGUUCUUUGAACUGGAUCAGUUCUGAUAUUCUAACAUUGUUGGAAAAUCAUUAUCUUCUGUAAAGCCACAUUUCAUUUUAUGAUUUUUAGCAGAAGCUCACAUCGAGGUCUUGGUGUGGGGCUGCUGGGGAAGGGAAUGUCCUUCUACUUAGUGAAAGUCGUUGUUGUGGAGGCUGAUUUUACCUUCUUUCAAGUGUUCUAUUCUAUUUAGUGCAAUUGGUUCGAGUUAAACUAGCAUCCGUCGUACAAAUAUUUGUGGGACAUAUUCAGUUAAAUUUACCAUGUUCUGUUCUGUUUUCAUUACCCAACGCUAAAAUGUAGAUGUUAUGAUGACCAAUGACCAUAAACUAUACAUGAUUGGGCAAAGAAUCACUCUGGUGACCCAGAGAUAGAUGAAGCUUUAAAGAAGGGAGAAGAUGCUGGGCUUGCCUUGGUUAGCAGCAAUUAUCAUUUCAUUUUUGUGUUUAUCAGCAUAAGCUAAUAUCUGGAAGUAGGGCUUCUUUACUCUGUACUCCUGCAAUUUUUAAUGUUCCUGGUGUCACUUUCCCCAGUACUCUUCUAUAGCCGCGUUUUGUGCUAAAAAAUGAAAAAUUCAAACGUUUUGCAGUCACUACCAGCAAGUAAUAGCACUGACUAUUAUUUUAAAUAAAAUAUGAAAUCAAGCUUUCAGCUGCAUCUUUUAGCAUCCCAGCGCACUCAUCAACUUCAGAGUUACCAUUGGGAUCACUUUUCUCAAGAAAUCUGGAAAGAAGCGAGGAUUCUCAAGUAAGAUAAGUCUGCUUACAAAAAUUUGCCUACUGGAAAGUAGAUAGAGACUCAUGAAGUAAGACAUGCCUACAUAUUAUACAUAGCAGGCUUCUGACUUCUCUGAUUCUGCAAGCCUUGAGGCUGUGAAACAUCUAUGCUAGGUCGCCACACUUCUGCCACCUUCAUUUGAUGAGGUUCAGCGUUCACUGCUAUGAAAGAAGAAGGCAUAUAUUUUCCUUGUGGAAUUGCCAGUAGAAUGGCAGUGAGAACAAGUAAAAAUCUGCAACAGUAUGACUAUGGUUCCUACUCAAAGUAGAGGACGAACAAACUUUUUUGAAGUAGGAGUCGAAAACUAAAAAUCCAUCUAUUCCUAGAAUGGAGCUGGUUGGAGUUGAGCCUACAAUUGAGCGGGUAGUUCGGUGGCACCGACAUCCAGCUGAAAGUUUAUAGGAGGGUUAGUAAAGAAAAUUUGUUCAUGAGGAAAUGUGCCAGCAAAACAUUGAGUCGGAGUGCAAGUCAAAUGCUCUUAACAGUUUUUUGAUCGCUUUUCUUUAAUUACAAUUCUUAUUAUUUUUAGUUGGCAUUGAUGUACAAAAGAAAAUCCUGAGCCUUUUUUGUCCUCUCAUCGACCAUUGUAUUUUUGAAUCAUAUUAGUCUAUGUAAAAGAAUUCAGUACCUUAUGUUUUGUAUAUUUGGAAAUGUCUAAAGGCAUGGUGUUAUAUAAUAACUGUAUGAUAUGCUUUGUAUGCCUUUCCCUGUAGCCUUAGUAUGGUCAUCAUUUUCUCUUUCAUGUCCUUCAUCUUAAAUUAAAAAAUAUGAACCAUUGCAUUGUGCUAAAGUUUAUCAUUAUUAUUUAAUUUAUUUAUAGGCAAUAGUUCUUCUAGAAAAAAAAAUGUAAAUUUUGUGUAACAAGCUAAAAUAGAAUCUUCUUUGUUGCAAUUGGGAACAUGCCACAUGACUAUUGAGCUGGCAUUAUUUGCCAAUUCUAUUAGCUGACAAUGUUGAUGUGUAUCUUUGACACCAUUCAUUUGAACCACCAAAUAAUAGAAGUUGUUUGAUUGGUAAAAUAUUUUUCAGGUUCCUAACCACACGCUUACUUAUUUUGUAUUCACUGUAACGCAUGGUUUUUUGUGCUAUAACAUAAUGUCAAACCACUAAAAUUUAUAUGCCCCGUUGCAACGCACGGGUCUUGUGCUAGUAAUAGUAAAAAGACGAAAAUAAGCCGAGACAGAGCGCUGAUUAGAUGUGUCUCGCUGUAUACCUCAGAUAAGAAGAGAUGGGCCGGGCAGGCUGCGACUCGGACUCGACAUGCAGCUGCCAGCCAUGACCCUGCACCCCUAAUAAAAAAGUUUGAAAAGCCAUGACCCUGCGUUUCCUGCCCUUAGAGCAUUACUAGUAGAACCCUCAAACCCUUGAACCCUUACUAGCGUUUUAAAGGUCCAAAAAUAAUUUUUAAUGCACUUUUACGGGUUGAAAAAUAGGGGCAAAGAUUAGAACCCUCAAACCCAACCCUUAUAACAGAAUAUUUCCUAUGAACGACGUUGUCGCUGCGCGCGGGAGGUCGACGGGGCGGCCGCCGGCGACGGGGGCGACUAGCAGCGGCGGUCGCGGGCGUGGGCGCGGGAGUUGGGAGGAUUUUUCCUUCCCGCGCGAGUAUAACCGCCAAAUGAGGGUUGGAUAGAUUUUGCUCUCCAACCCUUACUUUUGAAGAUUGGGAGAGGGUUUGAGGGUUAAACCUUUAAAAAAAUUUAAGAGUUUGAGGGUUAAGGGGUUCUAGUCUACGGCUUUUUUUAACAAAAAUUAUAAAAAAACAAUUAUUUUUAGAGGUUUGAGGGUUUAAGGGCUCUACUAUAAUUAUUAUAAUGCUCUUACCCCGCGCUACCCCGCAGAUAUCGCGAAACACAAACGUGCACGAUUCACGUUCGGAAUCCCAACGGGCCACGGCGGUAAAACCGCGCCGUAAUAAUUGGGAACAGAUCGAUAGCCUUCCCUUCCCACCGCGCGGCAGCCGUCGCAAUCCUGAUCCUUCUCUGCUUGGGCGUUCCGUUUCCUGAUUCUUUUCCAAUCCGGUCUCCUGCCUCCCCACGCGUCGUUGGCCAGCGCCUAUAAGUACAAGGGCCGUGCCCGGCCUCCGUUCGCACAACCAGCUUUUCUCUCUCUGUUUCUUUCUCUCCGGCCCCAGCCGUCGCCCUCCUCUGCUCUGCGUUGGGGUUUCGCUAGGGUUUCCCUAGCGGCGAGAGGCAAGUUCUUUCGUACGCACGUUUAAGUUCUUGGGUGGAGGAGUUGCAGAUUCUCUGCUCUGCGUUGGGGUUUCGCUAGGGUUUCCCUAGCGGCGAGAGGCGAGUUCUUUCGUACGCACGGUGAAGUUCUUGGGUGGAGGAGUUGCAGAUUCUCAUCUCGAGGAGAGGAGUCGGGCGUGCAAGAGUCGAUCUCCCAUCCUUCAUCGCCGGAGCAGACGGCCGUCAGAUAAUGCCGGUCGUAAUGGGAGCAUCAUAGGUGGUACCAUGCAUGCCAACUAAGCAAUUUUGAUGAGGUGACAUAGAAUUAAAUGAAGAAAGAGGGGCUUGAGUAUCAUAUCAUGAUACCGUAUCAUAUUAAAUGAUGUGCUAUUUUGUGUCAUGCAUGAUAAUAAAUAUAGUCCUAACAUAUGGUACCAUGCAUUAUAGAUGUAGUAUCAUGUAGUAGUGUCAUAUGCAUGAUAUUAAUAUAUGAUACUCUCCAUUAUGAUGUUAUCACAUAUGUUACUC